CCUACGGGAGGCAGCAGUAGGGAAUCUUUCACAAUGGGCGAAAGCCUGAUGGAGCAAAGCCGCGUGCAGGAUGAAGGCCUUCGGGUUGUAAACUGCUUUUAUAAGCGAGAAAUAUGAUGGUAACUUAUGAAUAAGGAUCGGCUAACUACGUGCCAGCAGCCGCGGUCAUACGUAGGAUCCGAGCAUUAUCCGGAGUGACUGUGUGUAAAGAGUUGCGUAGGUGGCAUAAUAAGUAGCUAGUGAAAUCUGGUGGCUCAACCAUUCAGACUAUUAGCUAAACUGUUAAGCUCGAGACCGGUAGGGGUAACUGGAAUUUCUAGUGUAGGAGUGAAAUCCGUAGAUAUUAGAAGGAACACCAAUAGCGUAGGCAGGUUGCUGGGACGGUUCUGACACUAAGGCACGAAAGCGUAGGGAGCAAACGGGAUUAGAUACCCGAGUAGUC
rnacentral:rRNA from 1 species